GCUGCCUUCCCUGCCAGCUGAGUCAGGAGGAGACCGCUUCCCGCUGGGGAUGCCGUUUGCGUCCGGGUCUGACAGCUGGAUGCUCAGGCCUUGUGUAAAAGAUGCUUUCCUGUAUUUAAUGUGACAUCCAGCCAUGAAACAUCUGGAGCCAAAGAGCAGGUGCAGGACACAGAAAGAACCAUCAGGACUGUUAAUCCACCCCAUUUCUAGGCAAAGUAAAAUUCUUUAAAUGAA